GACGAACGCUGGCGGCGCGCUUAACACAUGCAAGUCGAACGGAAAGGCCUGCUUUCCCUUGUGGAUUGCGGGUACUCGAGUGGCGAACGGGUGAGUAACACGUGAGUGAUCUGCCCCCAACUUGGGUAUAAGCCUGGGAAACUGGGUCUAAUUCCCGAUAGGACUGCAGGGUGGUGCCUGUGGUGGAAAACGAUUUUCUAGUGGUUGGGGAUGAGCUCGCGGCCUAUCAGCUUGUUGGUGGGGUAAUGGCCUACCAAGGCGGCGACGGGUAGCCGGCCUGGGGGGGUGGACGGCAACAUUGGAACUGAGAUACGGCCAAGGCUCCUCCGGGAGGCAGCAGUGGGGAAUAUUGCGCAAGGGGCGGAGGCCUGAGGCAGCGACGCCGCGUGGGGGAUGACGGCCGUCGGGUUGUAAACUCCUUUCGACCGCGAGGAAGCCACCUGGUUGGAAGGGUGGUGACGGUAGUGGUAGAAGAAGCACCGGCUAACUACGUG
rnacentral:rRNA from 1 species